rnacentral:lncRNA from 1 species
CACACCAGGAAGUAGGGGGGAGGGACCCCUGGGGCACAAUGGGGGAUACAGUUUACCAGGUCACGAUAUUUUAAAACCCACAUUAGAUAUAUAAAAAUAGCAACACAAAAUUACAAAAAAAAAGUUGUAAACCAGAUUUCUAGAUAGAGCUAAUUCAUUAAUUACUGUUAUAAUUAGGCUUCAGCAUUGAUUCAGGAAUUCUCUGAAGAUCUGGGUUCAAAUUCCAUCUCUGAUGCUGUUUCACUCUUUGAUCUGAGAACCUGGCCCAUUGCACAGUGCAGAGGACUGACAAUAAGCCAGACCAAACCCAGUCACAUAACUCAAACAGAAAUGUUAUUUGCUAACAAGCCCACUGAUGCUAAGAUCUCAAAAGAGGAGGAUCUUGAACACCUUGAAUCUGGAAAUUCCCAGAUAGAGAUGAAAUAUGAAGUUGCAGGAAAUGUAGGUAAGAAAAAAAAAUAACUUUUUCUAUUAUAUAAAAGAUCUUUGUGAGUAUCAGUUGCUCAUG